rnacentral:piRNA from 1 species
UGGUACCAUUUUAGCCUUCAGAAAGCAAG